CUACAUUAAUGAAUGUAGAAUUGAUCCCAAAUUUUUUUAUGCAUUUCUGCAUUCUUUGAAAUGAUCUUUUUUCUUUUAUCUAUUGUUUUAUGAAUUUUCUCUUUUAUCUAUUGUUUUAUAACAGUCUCUACCCAAAUUUCUGCUGCCAGGCUUUAAGGCAUUUUCCUGAAAUCAGCAUAGCCAUAUUCAGUGGUUUAAAGUAAAUCACAGGCUAGCCUAGAUUCAGGUCCAAAGGGACAACAUAAGGACACGAUGGCAAGAGGUCAUCUUUAGAGACCAACUAUAGGAAUAUAUUCAGG
rnacentral:lncRNA from 1 species